CUUUUGUGGGGUGCUCGAGUGGCGAACGGGUGAGUAACACGUGAGUAACCUGCCCUUGACUUUGGGAUAACUUCAGGAAACUGGGGCUAAUACCGGAUAGGAGCUCCUGCUGCAUGGUGGGGGUUGGAAAGUUUCGGCGGUUGGGGAUGGACUCGCGGCUUAUCGGCUUGUUGGUGGGGUAGUGGCUUACCAAGGCUUUGACGGGUAGCCGGCCGGAGAGGGUGACCGGCCACAUUGGGACUGAGAUACGGCCCAG
rnacentral:rRNA from 1 species